GGUGGCCUAGUGGUUAGUGCUUCCGCCGCAGAUGCGGGACGCCGUGGGUUUGAUACCCGUCGAAUCA